GAUGAAGAACGCAGCGAAAUGCGAUAAGUAAUGUGAAUUGCAGAAUUCAGUGAAUCAUCGAAUCUUUGAACGCACAUUGCGCCCACCAGUAUUCUGGCGGGCAUGCCUGUUCGAGCGUCAUUUCAACCAUCAAGCCCUGCUUGCGUUGGGGUCCUGCGGCUGCCCGCAGGCCCUGAAAACCAGUGGCGGGCUCGCUAGUCACACCGAGCGCAGUAAUACAUCUCGCUUUGGGCGUGCGGCGGGUUCUUGCCGUUAAACACCCCCUUUUUACCAAGGUUGACCUCGGAUCAGGUAGGAAUACCCGCUGAACUUAAGCAUAUCAAUAAGCGGAGGA
rnacentral:misc_RNA from 1 species